UACGUAGGGGGCAAGCGUUGUCCGGAUUUAUUGGGCGUAAAGAGCGUGUAGGCGGCCAUACAGGUCCGUUGUGAAAACUGGAGGCUUAACCUCCAGACGUCGAUGGAAACCGUAUGGCUAGAGUCCGGAAGAGGAGAGUGGAAUUCCUGGUGUAGCGGUGAAAUGCGCAGAUAUCAGGAAGAACACCCGUGGCGAAGGCGGCUCUCUGGGACGGUACUGACGCUGAGGCGCGAAAGCUAGGGGAGCAAACGGG
rnacentral:rRNA from 1 species